UGGAGUACGUGCUCUGAUAUCAUGAAGAAAGUUGAAUUCCACUAUAAAACCAAUUGGCAAUAUUAGAAAUAGCUCAAUUUGUUUCAUUUCAUGACAUAAGACUCUUUUACUUUAAAAUCCUCAUAUAUAAUAUAUAUUUAAUUGGUUUCUUUUGACCCAAUUGGCGGGCUGAAAAAGUGUAAACAAUUUCCUCACAAAUUGUGGAAUUUGGCUUCCUUCUAUUUUUGGGUAAAUUUCACUUUAUCACAUCAUUUUUGAAAUCUGUUGAAAUCUAACACAACCUCUUUAAAAUAUUUCACUUUCAUACCUCAAGUACUAUUUUAUUUCAAUAUAAUACAUCCGUUACAUUUUUCAUCAAUUGAUCAAUUAAGAAUUGAUGUGGUUGCCAUAUUUGUGUCACGUGACUGUCAAAUUUAUGUCACGUGACAAAUUUUUUUUUAUUUUAUACAUUUAAAAUAUUAUAAUAAUUUACCCUAUUAUUAAAAAAAAAAAAGCGAAAAAAAAAAAAGAAAAAACCUGAAACCCAGAAACCCAUUCGUCCGACCCACCUCCCUGUCCUCUACCCUCUUCACCUCCCCUCCCAUCCAAAAACCCACCCCACCCCCACCUCCACCUCCACCUCCCCCCUUCUCUGCUCCACGAUUUGCAUCUGAGAUGGCGUCGUCGGCGCAGCUCCGGCUCAUGUCCGAUCUCAGAACCAUCAUUAACCUUGCCGUUAAACAAGUCCAUAAAUUCUGCCCCUAAAUCUACGGUUCCCACAACUCGAUCCACACUUCCUGCAAAUAGAUCGACAACUCCUGCAACUAAAUCUACAGUUCCCUCAAGAUCCUCUACACCACCAAGGUCUGCGGCAAGAUCUUCAACACCAACGUCCAGACGCACUGUACCCCUACCAAGCCUGCAUCAAGAGCUUCAACACCAACUCGUCGACCGUCCAUGCCAUACCCUACACCUAGUAUAUCAGCUCCUCCAUCAAAGGUUGCAGCGCCAGCCCUCUGUCUGAUGGCAAUGGAAGUUCUUCAUCCUUCCCGUCGCCGAGAAGGUGAAGAACGAAGGUGAGAAGGGAGAGAUGCUGCGGGCCAUGGCGACCCGGCUGGAUGGCGGCAACGGGCUUGGGCUGGGCCUUCUAGGCCCGGGAGUGGCGGCGGGAGGUAAGGUAGAGGGAGAGGAGGAAUAGGGUGAUUAGAGAGGGAGUGUGUUUGAUUUGGGGGUGGGGAAGACGAAGGGGAAAACUGGGUUUUUCUUUUUUUAUUCUUUAUUUUUACUUUUCUUUAAUUAAUUAUUUUAAUAUUUGAAAUUUUUUAUGAAGUGUUUAACUAUACGGUACAAAUAUGGAUUUCAUAUUUUCCACAUUAUCAUUUAACGGUUUACUUAAUGGGUUUUCUAACGAAUGUAUGAAAUUGAAAUAAAAUGAUAAAUAAAUGUAUGAAUUGAAAUGUUUUAAGGAUGUUGUAAGACCAACUCCAAUGGUGGGCUAAAAGCCAAAUUACCCCCCAAAAUUUCCCCCCAAACGCACUCCAACCCAAGGGGAAAUUUUGAGCUAAAUGCUAAAUGCUAAACCAAUGCCAAAUUCCCCCCGAAAUUUAGCUCAGAAAUCGGGGUGGAUUCUACCCAAUAUUUAUCGGAAUUUAAAUUUUUUUAGAUUAAAAUGUUUAUAAAAUUAAUUUACGAUAGUCUACAUAUUUAUUUUUUU